GACGCCGCGUGGAGGACGAAGGCCUUCGGGUUGUAAACUCCUUUUCUGGGGGACGAAUAAGGUGAGUAGGCAAUGGCUCACCGAUGACGGUACCCCAGGAACAAGCGCCGGCUAACUUCGUGCCAGCACCUUCGGUGACUGAGCGGGCUGGCAAGGCGCAUA
rnacentral:rRNA from 1 species